CAGCAGCCGCGGUAAUACGUAGGUGGCAAGCGUUGUCCGGAAUUAUUGGGCGUAAAGGGCUCGCAGGCGGUUUCUUAAGUCUGAUGUGAAAGCCCCCGGCUCAACCGGGGAGGGUCACUGGAAACUGGGAAACUUGAGUGCAGAAGAGGAGAGUGGAAUUCCACGUGUAGCGGUGAAAUGCGUAGAGAUGUGGAGGAACACCAGUGGCGAGGGCGACUCUCUGGUCUGUAACUGACGCUGAGGAGCGAAAGCGUGGGGAGCGAACAGGAUUAGAUACCCCUGUAGUCCCUGUCUCUUAUAC
rnacentral:rRNA from 1 species